rnacentral:rRNA from 1 species
AUUGAACGCUGGCGGCAUGCUUUACACAUGCAAGUCGAACGGUAACAGGUUAAGCUGACGAGUGGCGAACGGGUGAGUAAUGCAUCGGAACGUGCCCGAUCGUGGGGGAUAACGCAGCGAAAGCUGCGCUAAUACCGCAUACGAUCUGAGGAUGAAAGCGGGGGACCGUAAGGCCUCGCGCGAUCGGAGCGGCCGAUGUCAGAUUAGGUAGUUGGUGGGGUAAAGGCUCACCAAGCCAACGAUCUGUAGCUGGUCUGAGAGGACGACCAGCCACACUGGGACUGAGACACGGCCCAGACUCCUACGGGAGGCAGCAGUGGGGAAUUUUGGACAAUGGGCGAAAGCCUGAUCCAGCAAUGCCGCGUGCAGGAAGAAGGCCUUCGGGUUGUAAACUGCUUUUGUACGGAGCGAAAAGGUCCCCUCUAAUACAGGGGGCUCAUGACGGUACCGUAAGAAUAAGCACCGGCUAACUACGUGCCAGCAGCCGCCGUAAUAC